AUGGAUCAGCAGCAACCCAGCAUACCACAAGGAAAUUGGACAAAAAAUGGGCGAUCUGUUUACUACACGCAGGCAAGUCGUGGUGGUAACCCUGUGGGCCAUGACAAUGUGGCAGGCCAGUCAUCAACCCGUGGUGCCCCUGUAGUGGCGUCUUUGCAGUCAGAGAGUCAUACUCUUGAUGACACGGGAACCGCGGCAAAUAUUCCUGGUCCAACCAGGACUGAGCUAGGAGCUGGGGUUGUUGACGGAGUUGUGCAAGGAGAAGAAGGAGAGGAUGAGGCUAGUUCUCAACCUAUGGAACCCUAUGUUGGCAUGAGGUUUGACAACCUUCAAAUUGCUAAGGAUCACUACAAUAGCUACGCACUACGGAUGGGUUUCUCUAUCAAGAUGAACACCUCUAGGCGGACACCCCACACCAAUGUAUUGGUAAAACAGCAGUUUUGCUGCAACAAGUUCAAGAAGCCCGAAGGUGAUGAUGGAGGAGCUGAGGCUCCUCCUGUCGUGGACCCUAUUCCAGAUCCAAAAACUGUUGACAAUGAUGAGGAAAUGGAAGAUGAACCUCCAAUCUUGGCUAAAGAGGAGGCUGGUCCUAGUAAGAAGAAGAAGAAACGGAAACGCGAGACAAUAAAGCAGACUCAAUGCAAGGCGAAAAUGUUGGUGAAGCUGAUAGAUGGGCGAUGGGAGGUGACACACUUUGUUCGUGACCACAAUCAUCCGCUCGUGAACAAACCUUCGGUGUCCAAAUACUUGAGAUCCCACCAAGGCAUCUCACCUGAUGAAAAGGAGUUUUUACGCAUCUUGUAUAACUGCAACUUGACUACAGGUGUGGUGUUUCUAUAUCCCUUAAAGAAUUAA
rnacentral:rRNA from 1 species